UACGUAGGCAGCGAGCGUUGUUCGGAGUUACUGGGCGUAAAGGGUGUGUAGGCGGUUGUUUAAGUUUGGUGUGAAAUCUCCCGGCUCACUGGGAGGGUGCGCCGAAUACUGAAUGACUUCGAGUGCGGGAGAGGAGAGUGGAAUUCCUGGUGUAGCGGUGAAUGCGUAGAUAUCAGGAGGAACACCGGUGGUGUAGACGGCUCUCUGGACCGUAACUGACGCUGAGACACGAAAGCGUGGGUAGCAAACAGGUUAG
rnacentral:rRNA from 1 species